GUGAAUAUAGUUUAAACAAAACCUUAGGUUGUGGUCCUAAAAAUGAAGGUUAAUAUCCUUCUAUUCACC
rnacentral:tRNA from 1 species